rnacentral:rRNA from 1 species
GACGAAGGGGGCUAGCGUUGUUCGGAAUUACUGGGCGUAAAGCGCGUGUAGGCGGUUGUUCAAGUCAGGUGUGAAAGCCUUGAGCUCAACUCAAGAAAUGCACUUGAUACUGGAUGACUAGAGGACCGGAGAGGAUAGUGGAAUUCCCAGUGUAGUGGUGAAAUACGUAGAGAUUGGGAAGAACACCAGUGGCGAAGGCGGCUAUCUGGACGGUUUCUGACGCUAAGACGCGAAAGCGUGGGGAGCAAACAGGAUUAAGAAACC